rnacentral:lncRNA from 10 species
GACGACGUGUGCCCAAGGUGGUUGGAGCACAGCUUGCUUUUAUACAUUUUAGGGAGACAUGAAACAUCAAUCAACAUAUGUAAGAUGAACAUUGGUUCCCUCCGGAAAGGCAGAAUAACUUGAAGCAGGGAGGGGGCUUCCAGGUCAUAGGUAGAUAAGAGACAAAUGGUUGCAUUCUUUUGAGUUGCUGAUUAGCUUCUCCAAAGGGGCCAGCAGAAUAUGCAUUUAUCUCAGUGAGCAGAGGGGUGACUUUGAAUAGAAUGGGAGGCAGGUUUGCCUUAAGCAGUUCCCAGCUUGAUUUUUCCCUUUAGCUUAGUGAUUUUGGGGCCCCAAGAUUUAUUUUCCUUUCACACACCUAAGGACUUUGUAUCCUCUUCUGGGAAAAGGAUUAGUGCAGUAGGAUGCAGUUGUAGCAAGGAUAGUUGUGUCAUGUUAGACAGAACUACGAUCUUGUUAUUGUCUUUACUUGAAGGUGAAGUAUGAUUUAAGGAGAGAUGUGUGGGUCCCAGAUUGACAAGGAGCAGACUGGUGAUGAUUAAUUUUACAUGUCAACUUGGCAGGAGUGAAAAUUGUAAAUUCUUUUUCUGUAAAGGUUUUAUUAUGCAGAGGAGGGGCUCAGUCCUUGGCAGCUGCUUUCCUCAUGGCGGCUCAGUACCCAGAUAUUUGGUCAAACUGAUAGCCACGGGAUGCAGCCAAAUGCAUUGGCAGGUGGGGGUGGGUCCCUGGUGAAACCCCACCUUCCAGCCAAAAACAGAGCUGAAAGGCUGGACUGCUGGUCCCAGACGAAACCCACGACUCAGACUUAGAACUUCUGUUCCUGUUUGCCCACCCUUUCCUGAUUGAUUCUUUCUGAAUAAUGCCUUUUAACCAGUUGAAUGUUGCCUUUUCCAAUACUACCUAUGGCCUGCCCCUCCCCUAUUCUGAGCCCAUAAAAAGCCCCAGACCCAGCCACUUGGGGAGGUGAGAACCACCCGACUGUGGGGCUGGGGGGCCACCCCCUAUGUCCCCUCUCCGCUGAUAGCCAUUCCGUCACUCAAUAAAAUUCUUCUCCACCCCCAUCACCCUUCAAUGUCCAGUAUAUCCUCAUUCUUCUUGGUGUGGUACAAGAGCUCGGGAACCAUUGAAUGCAGGUACAACCUAUAACACAGGCAAGCUGGGGCAUGCCAGCCUGGCUGAGGGAGGUCUGGACAGGACAUCGCCAGCUGGGGGUUUCCAGCUUGCAAAGUGACCAAGAACAAAAAUCCUACCUCAAAACAUUAUUCUGGUUGUUUUUGUGAAGGUGUUUUUUGAAUGAGAUUUGACUGAUGGAAUUUGAGUAAAGCAGUUACCUCUAUAAUCUGGGUGGAUUUCUUCCAAUCAGCUAAAGGCCUUAAUGGAAAAAGACUGACUUCCCCAGGAAAGGAAGAAAUUCUGCAAGCAGACUGCCUUCAGAUUCAAACUGUAACUCCUCCCUGAGUCUCCAGGGUCUUAGCCUACUCUACAGAUUUUGGACUUACCAUGCUGUUACAGGAAAGGGGUCCCAAUCCAGACCCCAGGAGCAGGUUCUUGGAUAUCAUGCAAGGAAGAACUCAAGACUGGAGUCUGAUACAACGUUGAAAUAGAUUCCUCUGCUGUGGAAUUGGUCUGUCUGCGACCUGGAGCAUAAGUCAGGUAGGGGCCUGGUCUCAGGCCAAACAGGACAUGUGAAACUUGCUUUUCACCCCCUCCACCCCCUGGGGUCUCUGUAGUCCCUGCCAUCCAGGUGCUCACAGCCCAAGGAAGGGAACAGACACAUCCGCAGCUUCCUCCCUUCCAGGACAGCUUGGGCCCAGUGAGGCAAGUGAGGCAUAGCCAUGGAGCUCUGGGACGGGGAAGGAACUACUCCUCCAGCGUGGGGAGGGUCAUGUAAAUUAGGCAAAGCCAUGGAGCUCUGGGAUGGGGAGGGAACUACUCCUCCAGCUUGGGGAGGGUGAUGUAAAUUAGGCGUAGCCAUGGAGCUCUCAACGGGGAGGGAGCUACUCCUUCAGGUUGGGGCGGGGAGGAGGGUAAGCUGCAGGAGACAAGGAUGGCCAGGGAAGCUUAGUCCACGUUCACCGGCCUUUGUUCAGAGGGCACUGGAGGUGCAUUAACUUUACACAAAAGCAUCUCAAAGACCAAAAAGCCCUCAAGACCUAAAGAAGUGAGUCUCAAAUGGUGGUGUUCCAGGUUCCUGAAAGAGAUAUUUUGAACAAUGGGGCCUUCCCAAGCAUCCCCCAGACCAAAACAUAUUAUUAAUUGGCAAAAAGAGAAAAAGAAGAUCUCAAUUAAAUAAAAAGGAGCAUGACUACUUUCAGUGUCACCCUUCCUUCUCUCACCAUUGUCUACCAGCUCCGUCAUUACCCGUUUUCCUCAAAGAUGUUUGCUUCAGCCUCUCCCAUCCUUUCCCCUCCCUUCUCCCCGUUCAGUCACCCAGACGCUCUCCUGUUCACCACUUACACGCAGCUCCCUGGUGCAUCCCUCUGCACCCAGCAUUACAGGGAGGCCGGGGGAGGAGCUAGCAAGGACCGGAUCACCAGGGGGUUGCUGUCAGGACUACCCUUUCCAGCAGCUCCAGGUGGUACCUUGGGACCUGCCCAAAGGCAAACACUUGGAGAAGGUUCUGUCUCAGGAGGGUGAUGCAGGCUGUGAACAGGGUGUCCGCUGUGGCCUGAGCCAGUGGCCAGACUGGAAGGAGGAGAAAUGAAGAAGCUGAAGAGAAGAGACUGGGGAAUGGCUGUGGGGGAGGCUGGGGAGCUUAUCUCCUCCAGGUAAUGUGUCUUCAGGGGCGUCUCUCUGACUCACGGCAGAUUCACUGGGUAAUGGGUGUGUUCUUAAGGCAACGCAACCACCCAGCAACACGUCUUUUUUAGGAAGCCCUGGCCAGCCAGGGUAUCUCUAGGUUGUCCUGGUUUAGCAUUGCCUCCUAGCCGGAGACUUCUUGAGGCUGACUAAAGGUUGCUGGAAGCUUUCUUGCUUCUUCAUCCCUCCUACUUCCUCAGGUUCUGCAGCCAGGCUCCAGUGCAGGAGAAAUUCAGCUUCCCUCGCUCAACAUCCUGCUUCCUCUCUCCAAUCAUUAGGUCAGCCACUCCUAUCUACGCCCAUCUUUCCUGGGGACAGCCACUCCUAUCCACGCCCAUCUUUCCUGGGGUCAGCCACUCCGAUCUACGCCCAUCUUUCCUGGGGUCAGCCACUCCUAUCUACGCCCAUCUUUCCUGGGGACAGCCACUCCGAUCUACGCCCAUCUUUCCUGGGGACAGCCACUCCGAUCUACGCCCAUCUUUCCUGGGGACAGCCACUCCUAUCUACGCCCAUCUUUCCUGGGGACAGCCACUCCUAUCUACGCCCAUCUUUCCUGGGGUCAGCCACUCCUAUCCACGCCCAUCUUUCCUGGGGACAGCCACUCCUAUCUACGCCCAUCUUUCCUGGGGACAGCCACUCCUAUCUAUGCCCAUCUUUACCUAAGCUUUUGGGAUUUCUCUAGCAUUUCUGCUCCCUGAGGCUGGGUGAGACAAAAAGCAAGUGUUCUCUUUUUCCUGGUUCUGAGGGCAGAAAGCCAAAGGCAAGCCCUGAAGAACGGUAGAGCCCACUCUUCCUGGCUGUUCUUUACUAUCUGUCAGUUCUCUGAGGGAAAGGAUCUUCAAGGAAAGCACAUCACAGGGA